rnacentral:rRNA from 1 species
UACAGAGGGGGCAAGCGUUAUUCGGAAUUAUUGGGCGUAAAGGGCGCGUAGGCGGCUUUGCAAGUGACGGGUGAAAGCCCCCGGCUCAACCUCGGAACUGCCUUCGAUACUGCGGGUCUCGAGUCCGGGAGAGGUGAGUGGAAUUCCUAGUGUAGAGGUGAAAUUCGUAGAUAUUAGGAAGAACACCAGUGGCGAAGGCGGCUCACUGGCCCGGUACUGACGCUGAGGCGCGAAAGCGUGGGGAGCAAACAGG